rnacentral:lncRNA from 1 species
UAAGUAGAGAACUAAUUGGAAAGUUCCAGAGGCAUUUUCAGCUUUCCCUCUUAGCUUUCCCUCUCAACUUUCCGUCUCAACUUUCCCUCUCAUCCCUUUCUCUCUCGAUCAUAAACCACUAUCAUCGAGCCAUUCUCAACUUUCCCUCUCAUCUCUUUCUCUCUCGAUCAUAAACCAUUAUCAUCGAGCCAUUCUUCAUUGUCUCUUCUCGUCAUUUUCAUAUUCUCAUCGAGCCAUUAUUCUGGAGCAUUUCCCCUCCAUCAUCUGGAAUCUUAAGUGAAAACAUAGUUUGGACUCCUUAAAGCUUCCUCCACGAGUAAAUGCAAAAGAAUGUAAGAACAACAGUGAACAAUGAGACGACGAUAGAUUCGAUGAAGGACCUUAGGAAGAGAACUCGAAAGAGGAGGAAUGCGUCUGGGAAACCCUAGGUUCGUGAUGGUACUCUAGGAGCGGGAAGGAUUCGAAGCAGAGUGAAAAAUAGGAAGAUUGUUCGGUGAGAAAUAUGAUUUAGGUCGCGUGUUCGGUGGAAAAGGAAGAUUCAACGGCUGAAUCGGUGAAACGGUGCCAAAAUGAGGAUGUAAUCGGUGGAUUCGGUGGAGAAGGUUGUAACGAGGAUGAAUCAAGUCGCAAGAUGUGAUUCGGUGAUGUGAAUCACGGAGAUGAAGGCUCUGUGAGAGUGAUUAGGUGAGGAGAUUCACGAGCUCGAGAAAAAGCUAGGUUUGGCUUUUCUGGUUCUACUCCAUUCAUUUCAAUUCCAUUUCUAAUUUCAUAUAAAAAAUAGAAACACACUCUUUUUCAUUUCAUUUCUCUUCUGCAAUAUUCAUUGCCCGCUGAAACCCUUCAUUUUCCCCAAGUGGUGGAUCAGUUUCCGGGAAUUCCUCGCCAAUUAAGGUACCCUGCUUUUACUUCUUGAGUGGUAUUUUAUUCCCAUGACCAAGGAUCAUUUUCAUUACACACAACUUUUGCUUAGGGUAAGGAUUUUUGUCCUUUUUCUCCGUAGUCAUUUCGCAUUACUUUGUUUUGUGAGUUGAAUGAGUCACGAGAUAAUGUAAUUGUAUAAUUUGUGUAUACGUGGAGUGUAGGAUUGUUGUGUGCAAAUAUAAGGUUGUGAGAUGGAGGAUGGUGAGAAACCCACGGGUAAUUCGCAUGACAUUUCUGAUAUGGAUGUUGUUGAAGCAGCUUGCAUAGCCAACGUGUGUCAUCUUCCCCUAUUGACAUUUCUCCUACUUAGCAAUAGCAGGAUUAAUUGUAUUCUUCUGUCUUUGAUAAUUUUAAAUGUAUAUAAAUGUAUAUAAACUCCUGUUCGGUAAAGGUCUUUAACUUCUUUAGAUUCAUUUUGACUUCUGUUAAUAACAUCUUGUUCAUCACCUUUAUUUUUCAUUUUUAACAGGAAGUUAGUAUGAAAAGUGGAAAGGCAUCAAUUAUGCCGGUUGAUGAAUAUUGCUCGUGUAAUUUGAUUAUUGUUUAACUGGUACAUUGAAUUCUUUGUCACAACAUCAUCUUCUUUUAAACAAAGCUGGUAGACUAAUUAUAUGGUUAAUAAUUUGUGUUAAUCAAGCUUGUGGUUAAACCUGCUUUGUAACAAANCCAAGGCUGAAGAACUCAGGGUAUUUAUUUUUCUCCUUUCGUUAUAUAUCAUGGAAUUUGUUAUUCUACAUCAGCGAGUGUGUGGUGGUGAAUAAGAAAUGACGUCCUGUUCAAAAUGGAAGAAAACCAAGGGAGGUUUUUAUUAGAUUAACCAAACAUUAGUAAUAGAGAAAAGAAGUCUUCUGCUUUACUAUAUCUUGGUGGUUCUGUUUUCUCUCUGGAUUUGUACUAGUGAACUAUGUAUGUGCUGAGGUUUCUUUCCACUGUUUGGUGUUUUUCUGUUGCUUCACAGGUUCAUGUACAAGCAAUUGGAGGUCUGCCUGAUUUCUGUAAGGAUACACCUGAGAAUAUAGGGAAGAUGGUUGAUAUACUUGUGCAAAUUCUUGGCUCUGGUAAGUUGGACACUUUGUAGGUUUAACGGUUGAGAACAUAUCCAUGAUUGACUGUAGCAUGUUUUCUCCUAUUUCAUUCUUGUAGAAGAAUUUGUGGAGCGUGAUGCUGUGCAUAAGGCUCUGAUCUCAUCGUUGAGGCAGGAUGUCAAAGGUACCGUGAUAUAUCUUUACCUUGUUAGGAAACAAAUUUGCAGCCUUGUAACUAGAAAACACCACUUUCCAGAGCAGCAAAUAUAGAGAGAACGAGACUUGAUUAAUUGGCAUUUUCCAAACACACUCUUAAUAGUUUAAAUUUUUCUAAGGAACCCGAGUCUAUACAUGCUAAAUUAAAACAAUUUAUAAUUUUGGGUGUUGCAUUAGUAUGAUGAUUGACGUGUGCUUAAUUGAUUGAAUUCUUUUAAGUCUAUUGUACAGGUUGACUUAAGUGUGAGGGAAAAGAUAUUGACUUUAAUUGAUACAUGGCAAGAAGCUUUUNGUAGACCAAAUGGAAGGUAUAUGGGAAACUCUUUGAAGGCUGUGUGAACUUGGAUGGUUAGGUUACUCUAUUUUCUAGAGGCAAAAUAAAUCAUAGUUGAAACUAGAGAUACUCUUUUUUACUUUUUUCUGGUGAAGAUUUAAUUUUUUGUGGAAAGUUCUUCUACUUGAUAUGGUUCUUGUAAGCUUGUUGUCUAUAGCAUGGAUAGUUCUUUAUAGGUUAUGCGAGAUCUAUUAAUUUGGUUCUUUUAAUGAAUACCAAGCUUGGACGCAAGUCCAAGUGCACCAGAAGAUUAACGGAAACCAUAAAGGAAGAAAGAAAGAAGUUAUCACCAAUAUCAAGUCAUAAGGUAGACAGGGACAAUUUAAAGUAUUAUAGGAAAUAGCGCUAAUCAUGUUGGGCCAUAUUUUUCAAUGUAUUAAAUUAGUGUUAUGCCAUGUAAGGAAAGAAAACUUUUGGAAGUUACAUGAUCUUUUUCCCAGUUAGUGAGGCAUGCAGGGUAGUGGGUGAGUGGGUUCUUUUCUAGCAUUCUUUGGCUUUGGUUAAGCUUUUUUGCCCAUGAUCUAGUGUUCAUUAUACACAAAUACUUGGAAGAAGGAUGUUAAGCCUAGAGAUAUUGAAGAUGCUAUCAAUCAAGGAGCUGUAGGAAAACCUAGAGAUAUUCAAAGUCAUUAUACAUAUUUUACUUACUGUUUGUGAUAUUAAACCUGAAGUUCCUCUUUAGAUGCAAGUCAAUUUCCUUUGGUUUAAUUUUGAUUUUUAAUUUUAGGUAAUGAAAAAUCUUUUGGGCAUAUUUCAAUCUNNNN